GAUGAACGCUGGCGGCGUGCCUAACACAUGCAAGUCGAGCGAAGCGAUUUAGCGGAAGUUUUCGGAUGGAAGUUAAAUUGACUGAGCGGCGACGGGUGAGGUACGCGUGGUAACCUGCCUCAUACAGGGGGAUAACAGUUAGAAAUGACUGCUAAUACCGCAUAAGCGCACAGCAUCGCAUGAUGCAGUGUGAAAAACUCCGGUGGUAUGAGAUGGACCCGCGUCUGAUUAGCUAGUUGGUGAGGUAAAGGCCCACCAAGGCGACGAUCAGUAGCCGACCUGAGAGGGUGAUCGGCCACAUUGGGACUGAGACACGGCCCAA
rnacentral:rRNA from 1 species